UGGGAGCCAUGGAAGUUGAGGUGUAGA
rnacentral:piRNA from 1 species